ACUAAUAAAAUAGUCAGAAAGUAUGACUUUUAUAUUGCAUGUGUAUGUAAUACAUUUCAAAAUCGUGCAUAUAUGCUCAAUCAGCAUGUAUAAUUAUUGUAAUAAGCAUAACAAAUCAAAAAUAUGUGUGAGAUCCAAUAGUCAAAAUCCAUAACGUCUGACACAUAAAAUGGAUUCAUUUUGGUAAUGAAGAUGAUGACCGAUUCAAAAAGACAAAGCGAAACAAAAAAUAACAAAAUGGUGUCUGAAAAAAUCCGGUUGUGUCGUGCAAACCAUGGUGCUAUUUGCUAAUAAACCAACAAUUUUCUAAUAAAUAACUCUUUAAAUACCUACAAGUUUUAGUUUUGGUGCAGUGUUUUUGCCAUGUUCGCAAUAAAAUUUUAACAAUAACCAAAUGCCGAGUCGCAAAUCUCAGGUCACAAUGAAGCUGCGGUCUAUUUUCAAGCGUCACAAAACCAAUAUUUGCCGGCAGGUGCGGAUGUCAGUGAAUACGCUCUGCGCAGAUAAUUAUUUCGUAUUCUACGUGGUCUAUCAUCCUCUUUUUGAUCCUGCCAAAACCGUAAUUGAGGAGACAGUCUUCGUCUUAGGCACAACAAACCGGUUCUCAACUGAACUUCCUAAAUGGAACCCUGCAUAUACGCUGCUAGAAGUGUUUCGGUACAAAAAUAAUCCGCUGACUCUGGAAGCGACCCAGGGCGGAAAGGACUGCUCUGAGCUGUAAUGUUUUCGUUGAUGAUUCGUUCAAGUUUGAGAGCAACUUUAGCGUUCAUAUUCGUCGCCUUUUGUAACGCAAGCUGUUCACCAGUUGUGCAUCAACUUAUUCGAAAGGUAGAAACUCAUCGAUGGAUAACUGCUGCCUGCGAUGCUCAAAAGGUUGCGUAACGAAAGCUCCAACUCGGCGAAAGCGCCCUAUUUGAAACCUGUUUGAAACCACUGUUACGGAUGAUUGCUCCGAGGAUUGCUCCGAGUCGUAAACGAAAACCACCGGAGUAAUUUUCAAUUUCUGGAAUGUAGGAUUUUGGUCGUUAUAAGAGCUGCUGCUGAAUUCUAUGCGAUGUGUGUAAUGUGAUGAUUAUAAUAUCGAUGCCCACUUCAGCUGGUUCCAUACUUGAAAGAAAUGUGUGUUAUUCGCAGGAAAGUUAGAAUUUGUCAUCAAAAAGUAACACUACAUAAUUCAUAUGCUACCAAACGAUGUAUAACUGUUUUUUUCGUGGAAAUAAAAGUUAAAUAUGAAUAAAUUUA